CUUGGAGUGAAAUGAAUGGCCACAUCCACCUCAUCCUCCCCUCCCGCUCUCCCCCUCGCACCUCCGCCCCCGCCCCGCUCCCGCUCGCGCCUCCCCUUCCCGCCCCAUCCGCCGCCUCAGCCCGCCGCCACCGCCGUCCAUGGCACCGCACCCCACCCCCGCCUCCCGCCCCGCACGGCCGACCCGCGCGCCGCGCACGCGGUCGCCGUCAAGUCCGGCGCGGCCGCCCUGCCGGACGCGCGCCUCGCCAACGCCGUCAUGUGCGGGUACCUCCGCGCGGGCCGCCUGGACGACGCGCGGGGGGUGUUCGACCGUAUGCCCGCCCGCGACGCCGCCUCCUACAGCGCGCUCAUCUCGGGCCACGCGCGCCUGGGCUCCCCCGCCUCCGCCGCCGAGGCGCUCUUCCGCCGCAUGCGCCUCGCGGGCCUCGCCCCCACCGAGUACACCUUCGUCGGCCUCCUCACCGCCUGCAUCCGCAGGGGCAACCCGCGGCUCGGGACCCAGGUGCACGCGCUCGCCGCCAAGUACCCGUGCUGCUGCUGCGGCGGCUCGCUCCUCGUCGCCAACGCGCUCCUCGGCAUGUACGUCAAGUGCGGCCGCUUCGAGGACGCUAUGAGGGUGUUCGACGGGAUGGAGGGGCGCGACGUGUCGUCGUGGAACACGGUGCUCUCUGGCCUGGUCGAGCUGGGGAGGUACGAGGAGGCGUUUGAGCUGUUUGAGGACAUGCGAGCAGGCGGUAUUGCGGCUGAUCGGUUCUCGCUGUCGGCGCUCUUGACCGCGGCCGCAGAGGGGUUCGGCCUGCCCGAGGGGGCAGCAGUGCACGCUCUGUCUCUCAAGUCCGGGUUGGAGGUUGAUCUCAGUGUUGGCAAUGCGCUUAUUGGCUUUUAUGCCGAGCAUGGUGAUUCUGUUGAGGAUGUGGUCGGCGUGUUUCAGAGGAUGCUGGUGAAGGACGUAAUUUCGUGGACCGGAUUACUCAAUGGAUACAUGGAGUUUGGUUUAGUUGACACGGCUCUGGCUGUGUUUGAUCGGAUGCCGGAGAGGAAUUUUGUUACAUACAAUGCAGUAUUGACUGGGUUUUGUCUGAACAAGGAAGGUGUCCGAGUCACUUUUGCUAAGAAGGCGGGGCUGCGAGGGCUGGGUUUGUUUAGGCAAAUGCUCGAGAAUGGGCUGGAGAUGUCAGACGUUACAGUGACUGGUGUCCUCAAUGCUUGUGCUAUCGUGGCAGAUAGGAAGAUGAGUGAGCAGGUCCACACAUUUGUGAUUAAGUGCGGCUGUGGUUCUAGUCCCUGGAUUGAUGCUGGACUGAUAGACAUGUGCAUCAAGUGUGGCAGGUCUGGAGAUGCACGUCUAUUGUUUGAGCAUUGGCGCCAUCCGGAGAGCUUUCACAUUGCUUGGAAUUCGUUGCUACUUGCCAGCUUCAGAGAUGGAGAGUAUGAGAAAGCGUUUUCUAUCUUCCUUCAAAAGUUUAGAAGCAGUGAUGUUCAGUUCAUUGACGAGUUCAUGUUGAGUACUGUUCUUGGAGUUUGUGGUGCUUUAGGUUUUGCCGAGCUUGGAAAGGAAAUGCAUUCGUUUGCUGCAAAAUCUGGGCAUUUGCACGCUUGUGGAGUUGGUAAUGCUAUAAUCAGUAUGUAUGGAAAGUGUGGACAAUUAGAAAAUGCUGUUAAUUUCUUUCAGCAAAUGCCUCAUCGAGACCUCGUGUCAUGGAAUGCGCUGAUCACUGCUCAUCUUCUCCAUCGCCAGGGAGAUGAGAUACUGGACAUAUGGUCUCAAAUGGAGAGAUUAGUCAUCAAGCCUGAUUCCAUUACCUUUCUUCUGAUCGUAUCAGCUUGCAGUUACACAAGCUCAGAUUCAGUAGAUAAAUGUAUGAAACUGUUUCACUAUAUGUCUAGCAAAUACAACAUUGAACCUGCCAUGGAGCACUUUGCAGCAUUUGUGUAUGUCCUUGGCUGCUGGGAUCGUUUUGAUGAGGCAGAACAGUUUAUAGGUAGUAUGCCAUUCAAGCCUGGUGCAUUAGUUUGGAGAUCUUUGCUAGAAAGCUGUAGCAAGCGAUCAAAUAUGACAAUGCGGAGGCGAGCAAUGAAUCAUCUGCUUGCAUUGGAACCACAAGACCCAUCCACAUAUGUUCUGGCAUCUAAUCUGCUCUCUGAAUCAGCAAGGUGGCAUUGCUCAGAGAACACAAGGCAGGAGAUGCGUGAAAAAGGCAUCCAUAAGAUUCCAGCAAGGAGCUGGACAUUUCAUAACAACACAGUUCACUCAUUUUUCGCACGGGAUAGAUUGCACCCUCAGUCCAAGGACAUAUAUGCUGGUCUGGAUGUGCUAACCCUUGAGUGCAUGAAGGCAGGGUAUGAACCAGACACCACCUUUGUCCUACAUGAUGUUGAGGAACACCAAAAGAGGCAUUUCCUAAUGUACCACAGUGCAAAGCUAGCUGCUACAUAUGGCCUUCUAAUGUCAGGCCCUGGGCAAAGUGUCAAUGUUGUGAAGAACAUCCGCAUGUGUGGUGAUUGUCACUCAUUUAUGAAGCAUGCAUCUGCUGCCACCGGGAAAGAGAUUUCAGUCAGAGACUCGAGUGGGUUUCAUAUUUUCAGGGGAGGGGUUUGUUCCUGUAGAGAAUAGAGACUGGUACGGCACCACCAAUUUUGACUUUUUUGCACCGUCUUUGUAGUACUGUAGAAACUAUAGAAGAUAUCCUUGUAUUGAGGUCCUGUACAUCACUAUGAGUUUCUUCAGAAGCAUUCACGGGAGAACAGCCUGAACUGCUGAACAUCAUACUUGACAAUUACCUAAUGACUGCAAUUAGCCCGAGGUUUAGGGAUAGAACAGAGCUAAUGAGUAAUGCAUUGUGCUUCUGCCUGGUAGGGGAAAGAAGGAAAACUUAAAGGCAAGGAUGUGUCAGUGUGUCUUGUCUUGUCGGUAAGCAAGGAUAGUUGUUAUUGUUCCUUCUCACUGUAAUCUGUGUUGAGAACCUGAUUGUAGCUCCUUAUUUAGGCCAUGUUUGUUUGAACUUCUGUUUCAGCUUUUGGUGUUUUUAGCAAUUUCAAAAACACUUCUCCUGUUUACACAUGAAGCUGAGAAGCACCUCCGGACGUGCUUUUGGUGCUUCUAAACGGAAGAAGUGUUUUUGAGAUUGCUAGAAGCAACAAAAGCAAACAAACAGGGCCUUAGACUGUUCACAGCUAGGACUGCUAGUUAGACUGUUUGAUUUUUCUUUUCUUAUUUAGACAGUUAGUUCACUUCCAGUCGACCAGAUUUCCGCUAUAUCCAAAGACCAGUUUGCACCCUACAAAAAAAAUCACCAAUAACCACUGGUUUAUUCUGUGCAUAGUAGAUACCCUCGUAUAGUGUUUACUGGGUUGUAUAUUUACAGGGAUCCCUAACAGCUGGAUUUGAGACACGAUUGAAUGGUCCACGUUCAA